rfam:Arabis alpina cultivar Pajares chromosome 1, whole genome shotgun sequence.
AUUCUGUGAUGAGGGCAUGCUCUAGUAUAACCCAUCAUGCGUUCCCAAGCUUCACACAAGCUUUCACAAUCUCUUUGCUCAAACCUUGCAAUUUCAUUUCUAAACCU